rnacentral:tRNA from 1 species
GGUGGCUCAGUGGUAGAGCACUUGCCUUGCAUGCAAGAGACUCGGUUUGAUUCCUCAGCACCA